rnacentral:rRNA from 1 species
AGCGAACGCUGGCGGCAGGCCUAACACAUGCAAGUCGAACGAACUCUUCGGAGUUAGUGGCGGACGGGUGAGUAACACGUGGGAACGUUCCUUUUGGUUCGGAAUAACUCAGGGAAACUUGUGCUAAUACCGAAUGUGCCCUUCGGGGGAAAGAUUUAUCGCCAUUAGAGCGGCCCGCGUCUGAUUAGCUAGUUGGUGAGGUAACGGCUCACCAAGGCUACGAUCAGUAGCUGGUCUGAGAGGAUGACCAGCCACACUGGGACUGAGACACGGCCCAGACUCCUACGGGAGGCAGCAGUGGGGAAUCUUGCGCAAUGGGCGAAAGCCUGACGCAGCCAUGCCGCGUGAAUGAUGAAGGUCUUAGGAUUGUAAAAUUCUUUCACCGGGGACGAUAAUGACGGUACCCGGAGAAGAAGCCCCGGCUAACUUCGUG